UCAAGUUGAGUUGUAAUCUAAAAUCAAAGACAGAUUGAAUGACUUAUGCACCUCUAGUCUUAAUUCUGUUUCAUUUUGCAUAUAUGUUUUUUGGUUAGGGUUUGGGGAGGGGGAGGGGAAGGAACAUUAAUAUUGUAACAUAGCAUCCUUAUAAGUGCUCAAUCGUUUUCUCCCAUAUUCUGUUUUGGGCAUGUGCUAGGCGUACACUAUGGAGUUGGAAGCAGAGGUUGCAAAGUUGAAAGAAGAGAACCAGGAAUUGAAGAAAAAGCAGGCAGAAAUGCUAGAAAUGCAGAAGAAUCAGGCAAUGGAGAUGAUGAAUGUGCAGCGGGGAGUAAAGAAACGGUGCUUGAGACGAACGCAGACUGGUCCAUGGUGAAGCAUGAAGGGAUUGUGAUUUAUGUGGUUGAAAAUUAUGGCACUCAGGCUGUAAAUAUCUUUUAAGGCAAAUGCGUUUUUCUGGUGUAGAUCAAGAGAGGUUUAGUGUGCUGUAGAUUAAACCUUCCUUAAUAUUUUAGUUGCUAGCUUUGUACAUUUAUUUAUAUUAUUAUUUUUCAUUUUUUUAUACAUUUUCUUACUCUUGCAUGAUGAAAUAGUACUCUAGGUACCCAUAUGUCAUUAUCUGCUGGCAAAUUGUGCAUUAUUGAAGUUCUAAAGAAACAAGUGGCAGAAGACAGGGGAGCCAUACAUAUAUGGUAGGAAAUGUGUGUGCGUAUAUAUAUAUAUAUAUAUAUAUUAGAAUAUUUUAUUUU